UGAGGAAUAUUGCGCAAUGGGGGCAACCCUGACGCAGCGACGCCGCGUGAGUGAGGAAGGCCUUCGGGUCGUAAAGCUCUGUCAAGAGGGAAGAAGUGCAUGGUGGUUAAUAUCUGUCAUGUUUGACGGUACCUCUAAAGGAAGCACCGGCUAACUCCGUGCCAGCAGCCGCGGUAAUACGGAGGGUGCAAGCGUUGUUCGGAAUCACUGGGCGUAAAGGGCGCGCAGGCGGCCUGAUUAGUCAGAUGUGAAAGCCCACGGCUUAACUGUGGAAGUGCAUUUGAAACUGUCAGGCUUGAGUACCAGAGGGGAAAGUGGAAUUCCCGGUGUAGAGGUGAAAUUCGUAGAUAUCGGGAGGAAUACCGGUGGCGAAGGCGACUUUCUGGCUGGAUACUGACGCUGAGGCGCGAAAGCGUGGGGAGCAAACA
rnacentral:rRNA from 1 species